GACGAACGCUGGCGGCGUGCCUAAUACAUGCAAGUCGAACGAAGCUGUUUUAACUGGUGCUUGCACCGACUUAAACAACUGAGUGGCGGACGGGUGAGUAACACGUGGGUAACCUGCCCCAAAGCGGGGGAUAACAUUUGGAAACAGAUGCUAAUACCGCAUAACCACAGAAACCACAUGGUUUCUGUGUCAAAGAUGGUUUCGGCUAUCACUUUGGGAUGGACCCGCGGCGUAUUAGCUAGUUGGUAAGGUAAUGGCUUACCAAGGCAAUGACAAGUAGCCGAACUGAGAGGUUGAUCGGCCACAUUGGGACUGAGACACGGCCCAAAAUCCUACGGGAGGCAGCAGUAGGGAAUCUUCCACAAUGGACGAAAGUCUGAUGGAGCAACGCCGCGUGAGUGAAGAAGGUUUCCGGAUCGUAAAACUCUGUUGUCAGAGAAGAACGUGUGCGAGAGUAACUGCUCGUGCAGUGACGGUAUCUGGCCAGAAAGCCACGGCUAACUACGUGCCAGCAGCCGCAGUAA
rnacentral:rRNA from 1 species